GACGAACGCUGGCGGCGUGCCUAAUACAUGCAAGUUGAGCGAUGAAGAUUGGUGCUUGCCCCAAUUUGAAGAGCAGCGAACGGGUGAGUAACGCGUGGGGAAUCUGCCUUUGAGCGGGGGACAACAUUUGGAAACGAAUGCUAAUACCGCAUAACAACUUUAAACAUAAGUUUUAAGUUUGAAAGAUGCAAUUGCAUCACUCAAAGAUGAUCCCGCGUUGUAUUAGCUAGUUGGUGAGGUAAAGGCUCACCAAGGCGAUGAUACAUAGCCGACCUGAGAGGGUGAUCGGCCACAUUGGGACUGAGACACGGCCCAAACUCCUACGGGAGGCAGCAGUAGGGAAUCUUCGGCAAUGGACGAAAGUCUGACCGAGCAACGCCGCGUGAGUAAAGAAGGUUUUCGGAUCGUAAAACUCUGUUGGUAGAGAAGAACGUUGGUGAGAGUGGAAAGCUCAUCAAGUGACGGUAACUACCCAGAAAGGGACGGCUAACUACGUG
rnacentral:rRNA from 1 species